ensembl:misc_RNA
CCUGCUUGCUUGUUCUGUGACUUUCAGAAUAAGAUCCUUUGUGCAGUGCCCAGUUCAUUAAAUAGAAAAUUGCCUUCAUCUUGGAUGCUGUUGUUCUGG